rnacentral:lncRNA from 1 species
CCUGUUCGUCCUCCACCUCCCCAGCCACCUGGGGAGGGAUCCUGGCAGAGGGCCACCCAGUGCCACCUGUCAGCAGCGUUUCCUGCAGCCGGGGGCUCUCAGGGCCACCCCUGUUGCUGACAGCAGGACACAGACCCCUGAAACAAGCUUUUCCAGGGAAAAGAGGGGUCUUUUCUGUGCAGCCCAGGCUUGCUCAGCGGCAGAAUCUGGCAAGGGCCAUCCCGCUGCAGCGAGUUCAAGACUGACUCCCCUGGGCCCAGAGGCCCAGGUUCAAGACUGACUCCCCUGGCCUCUGGGCCCCCUUCAGCAAAGGCUGGGAAGGGAAGUUCAGUUGCCCGAAGUGUGACUCCCCUUUUCUCCCUGUGCUCGUUCCAGCUAAGGCCACGAACAGGGUGUUGGAGACAGACGACCCUGAGAGCUUGUGUGAGGGGCUGAGUGCUCGCAGCGAUGCAUCUCAGCAGCUCCAGACCUCCAUCAAAAUCGCAGAGGUAAGGAGUGACCUCAAGCUUGCCUUAUGUUCUGAAGAGCUGGAGCGGAGCCGUGACGGGAUCUCUCCUGGUUCUUGCAUCUUUCCAGAUCGUUUGCAAAAACUUCCCCAAAGAACAGGCCGCACACUUCAUGAAUGCCAUCCUGGGGCCCUUCCGGCAUGCCAGAGGAAGCCGCGUGCGUGCUGCAGGCAACUGGAUGCUCACCUUUCUGGAAACGUGUGGCAAGGACAUUGGUCCAGACGUGCAAGGAAUCGUCUCCGCCCUGCACACCUGCACAGAGUCCAUGCUGGAGCCCUCGUUCGUGUACUUCGUGCACCAUGCGGUGCUGAUCCUGGCCCGCUAUCACCGGGAGCUCACGCUGAACAUCAUCCUUGAGAAGUUUGUGCCUAUGGACAGGUACAUGCGCUACUUCCUUUCCUGCUGGGCUCAGAGAGCCGUAGCUUGCCUCCCCUCCCCUAGGGCGAUCCAAGGGAAGCAGCGUCUCCUUCUCCUCCACCCAAAUGACGGAGGUGUGCUGGUACCGCUGGGAGGAAGCAGGCAUCUUCAGCCCGGCUGCUGAAGAAGCGCGAGGUGAAGGCAUCCCAGGUCCCAGAGCAUACGGGCUCAUGGUUGCACAUCUCUUGGCAGAAACACACUGGAGCUGUGGAGGACUCUGGGGAGAGCCAGCAUUGGCCUCGGUGUGCUGAAGCGCUUAGCGAGGAAGCUGAACAGAGUGGG